rnacentral:rRNA from 1 species
GUUUAGAACGUCGUGAGACAGUUCGGUCCCUAUCUGCAGUGGGCGCUGGAAAUUUGAAGGGAUCUGCUCCUAGUACGAGAGGACCGGAGUGGACGAACCUCUGGUGUACCGGUUGUCGCGCCAGCGGCAUUGCCGGGUGGCUAUGUUCGGAAUGGAUAACCGCUGAAAGCAUCUAAGUGGGAAGCCAACCCUGAGACGAGAUUUCCCGAGGGCUUGACCCUCCUGAAGACCCCUUGAAGACGACGAGGUUGAUAGGUCGGAUGUGGAAGUGCGGCAACGCAUUAAGCUAACCGAUACUAAUUGGUCGUGCGGCUUGGUUCC